UGCUUGUCUCAAAGAUUAAGCCAUGCAUGUCUAAGCACAAGCCCUUGAAUGGUAAAGCCGCAAAUGGCUCAUUACAACAGCCAUAGUUUAUUAGAUCUUACUUUCCUACUUGGAUAACUGUGGUAAUUCUAGAGCUAAUACACGCAGCAAAGCUCGAACUCACGAACGAGCGCAUUUAUUAGAGCAAAACCAAUCAGGUUUCGGCCUGUCUUUUGGUGAAUCUGAAUAACUCUGCAGAUCGCACGGUCUCGAACCGGCGACGCAUCUUUCAAAUGUCUGCCUUAUCAACUUUCGAUGGUAGUUUAUACGCCUACCAGGGUUGUAACGGGUAACGGAGAAUAAGGGUUCGACUCCGGAGAGGGAGCCUGAGAAACGGCUACCACAUCCRAGGAAGGCAGCAGGCA
rnacentral:rRNA from 1 species